AUUUCAAUUUUUUUUUUUUUUUUUUUUUUUUUUUUUGCGGUACGCGGGCCUCUCACUGCUGUGGCCUCUCCCAUUGCGGAGCACAGGCUCCGGACGCGCAGACUCAGCGGCCAUGACUCACGGGCCCAGCCGCUCCGCGGCAUGUGGGAUCUUCCCAGACCGGGGCACGAACCCGCGUCCCCUGCAUCGGCAGGCGGACUCUCAACCACUGCGCCACCAGGGAAGCCCCGUAUUUCAAUUUUUAAAAAUGUAUUUUGCGUUCACAAUGGACUCCAGACUGGAAAAACCCUGUAAGUCCUCAUUUUCAUCACUCAGAAACAGAUGUUUCCACAAAAGAAUGACCAUGGUGUAACACAGAAGAAAUAAACCAAGGCAACAAGGAACUCAAAAUCAUCAAAUUAGUAGAUAAAACAGUGAUUUAGCUAAGGCAUUAAUUAUUCAUUCAUUUGAUAGCCAUUUAUUGAUGCCUACUUUAUCCAAGGUACUUAUGAGGUGAUGGAGUACAACUGGAAAAGACUCAAGCAUCUUAUCUCUGGAUAGUUGGUUUCAUUAGGUCUGGAGGGGGGUUUAGAAACAGGUCACUGCUUUUUUUUUUUCUUUUUAACUACUAAAAUAAUUCUAAGGAUCAGCAAAUUGGGAACUCAUGACCUGAAACAGUGAUUAUCAAUCUCUUUGUUGUCUGGUAGGUCAGAGAGAGAGCGGUAGGGAGGAAUUAGAGCUGAUCCAGAGACCAUUGAUCAUAACUCCAGUCUCUGUGGUUGUAGAACAGCAGCUACAAGGUGUGUUGCUGGGGAAGACUCAGGACUCUUGAUUCAAACACCAUGUUACUGCUUAGAAGCUGUGUGACCAGGAUCAAGUCAUUAAACUCGAAGAGGAAAUUACACCCACUUUCAGAAUUGUUCAGCAUUCCAAAUUGCCCCCAUGCUGAACCGUGACUGUAAAAAUUACAGAGAAACCUCAGAUGCGUAUAUAACUUGAAAGAAUCCAGGUAAGCCCUCCUGUUCAUGAGGAGUGGGAAAGCUUGGCUGCAUGGGGGCCAGAGCAUGGGGAACUGAGUGCCAGGGCUUUGGAAACCACAGCAAGCAAGAUCUCCAUGCGUGGCAGAAUGACCUGCAACGCCGGCAGACUUGUCAGCCCUCAUCACGGAGGCUCCAACAUGAAGAAGCCACAGACCAAAAGACCUCUUUGGGGGUCACCCAUAAACAUUCUCAUCCACUCAUAUGAUCGUGGAGGGGGUGAUGGACCUAUACAAUCAACUGAGAUUGGAUCUCCAGCCAACUCAGUAAGUGGGUGCUAAAUUAGAGUGAAGUGAUUUGGAAAAUUAAGGGAGGUUUGUGUUGAAGAUGGUAGCCUGAACACUUGGGUUUUCUCACCUUUGUCCAAAAAUCCCAUUGAAAUAACAGUAAAGGUAUACAAAAGGGGAUCAAUAGGUAACCACAGAGAGAACAGAAUGGGGGAACAGAGGCCAGAGUUUUGAUGAAAUUAUGUAGCAUGGAAGGUGGACUAGAUCUUCGUGAUCAUCUAUCAGAGUGGAGGGAGCUGUUACUUAGAAGAGACACAGGGGAAGGAUGAUACAAAGACAUAGGGGCAGAUCUGUCCAGCAAACCUUAUGCUGGCUCAGAGGCUGCAGGCACUGGGAGCAAGAAUGGACUACGGAGCAGUAAUCAAGGAAUUUAAUUAAGCAAUAAUCAAGGACUGAGUACAGAACAGCUGGGUCAGUGGGACCCACCUAUAUUUAGAGGGUGACCAGCAUCAAUACUGUUUACCACUUAGUUAAAAAUGGAGAGCUACUGUCUGAAGAAACUAAAAGAUAUGCCUGAAAAUACCUACACAUAUACUAUCCGUGUUCACAGAUAUAAAUAUUAGGAAAUAUAAACUGAUAAUCUGUGAUCACUGGACUAUCAAAGAAAACCAUCAGUCCCAGAGACAAGAACCAAGGUGAACAAACAGAAAAAAUGAACCUCAAAUUAACAGAUAAUUCUGGAAACAGAGAAUUUAUAAACAAAACAAAACAGUUUUUAAUUAGAAUCUUCGAAGAGGUUCGAGAAGACAUGUCCUUAAAAAAGGAAUUGGCUGCUAUGAAAAACGGAACAAUCAGAAAUAUUAAAAAAAAAAAAAAAAUGAUGGCUGAUACUAAAAGAAUUCACUAAAGGGGUCAGAGGAUAAAGUCAGGAAUCUUCUAGAAAAGCACAGAGCAAAAAAAGGGAAGAAAUGUAGGAGAUAAGGAGAUGUGAUACAGAAGGUCCAACAAUGAUUUAGAUAGAACUUCCAGAAAAGAGAAUAUAAAAAAUGAGAUGAAAAUGAAGAAAAUACAGAAAGAAAUCUCCUGAGGUUGAAAGGGACAAGUCUUCGUUUGAAAGGCUUAUGUAGUGCCAAGAGGAAACAGUGAUAAAAUACCCUCACCCAUUUCCAUCCUGACAACAGUUCAGAAUGUCAAGGAUAAAGAGAAGAUUCUAAGUGCUUCUAGAAAUGAAAACACAUACACAUAGGCACACACACUGGUACAUGAGGCAAACCACAAAAGAAGAAGAUGGUUUUGACCUCUGACUUCUUAUCAGCUGGAAGACAGGAAGCCAUGUUUUUAAGAGUUCUGAUGGCUACUAAUCUGCCAAUCAAAUGUAACUGCAAAGUAAGGAUAGUCUCAGACAUGAAGGUUCUCAGAAAUGUUGGCCUUCCAUUCACACUUUCUAAAAAAACAAUUUUGGUUAUGUAUUUCAGUGAAAAAAAAAGAGUCUUAGAAAGCAGAAGACAAGGUAUUCGAGAAAUGGGGGACAUAACGAGAGGGUAAUGGAAAGAAAUUCUAGGAAAACAGUGAGGGAGUAGGCGACAAUGGGACAGAAAAUCUGAAGGCUCUGUGGAGAAUGUCUUCAAGAGUAAAGUGGAUUCCAUGUGUAAGGACAUGGAAGACUUUAAUAUGUUUUGGCAAUUUCAGACUCCAAGGAGGGAAAAAACCAUAAAGUCACUAUGCCUCCAUGAAGUAAGUUAAAAUAUACCCAAAUUGUGGACAACUGACAGACUUUAGAAGAGAGAAUCUGUUCAGUCUUGACUCCUGACACAUUCUUCUUCAGGGGUGACUGGUUUAAUGACAUACGAUUAUAUUCCUUCUCUUUCAGUGCAGUCAUGCUAUUUGCCUCUGCCAUGUGUAAUAACAUAUAAUAGUGUAAACUCUGCUUUAAAAUUUUUAGAAUCAACUAAUAGACAAUAUAUAAAGAAACUUUCAUUAUAGUGUCAGGAAAGAAGGUAGCAGAAUAUAAAUGUAAUAAACACUGAAAAUGUAAAACUAGUAUUAAGUUUGGAAAUAUAAUGUCAUAAUUACACACAUCUAGUCCUCCUCUAGUCCCAACCCCCUGGGGCUAAAAAGAAGAGUUUUUAGCCACACCAGAAAAGGAAGGAAGGAAGGAAAAGAGGGAGGGAGGGAGGGAAGGAAGGAGAAAGAAAGGCCACCAGAGUUUUGGAGAGUAGACUGGAUCAGAUAUAGCGAAAAUUAACAUGGGAGGAAACCUCAGCUGAUCUCUUUUUGGCUCUAGAGCUGGGAUGGCCUUGAAGAGAUGCUCUGAACUGGGCAAGGGAGGGCAAUUCAGGGAAAGGUACUCAGGCAUGAGGUAUCAACACCGAUAUUCUCAGCAGCCUGGGGGGAUCAGGGACAGGGUGGUGAUUCCACAACUGAGCACCUUGGUCCUGAGGUGGGGGUGGAGGAUAGAAAGGAAAGGGGAAGGGGUUUGUGUGGUGCACACAGCAUCCACUAGAGGUAAUUAUAAAAAGUGUCGAUUAGAGAAUCUGGAAAUUAAAAUUUUGAUCAUCAAAAACAAACAAAAAACUAAAAUAAAUUAAAGGUAAGAAUGGACAAGGCUAAAGAGUGAAUUAACGAGCUGGAAGACAGAGCCAGUGUACUCUCCUAGAGGACAGUAUAAAGACUCAUAGGAUGAAAAGAAUGAGAGAAAGUGAAGUGACAUGAAUGAUAAUAUCAGAAGGUCUGUGUCAAUAAAUAAAACACUAUCAUCAAUAAAACACCAAAAUGUGAUGUUAUAAUCAGAAAGAAGAAGAACUGAGAAAGAAGGGGUAAGCCAAAGUUUUAGAAAUCUUUCAUAGAAAGGAAUAAAUAAGAUACUGUAUGAAAUUGAUAAACCAAGAGAUAAUAGUAUAGACAAUUAGAACCAUGGCACUAAUCACCUAAAUAAUUAAAAACAGAAAUGAUUAAGUGUGUUGACCUCUAGGGACCAGGACUGGAAAUGGCGGGGGUAGCGGGGAGAGAGUUUUACUUUUCAUUUACUAUUUUAUAUUUUAAAAAAACAUUUGACAUAUAUUUCUUUAAAAAUUUUUUUAAAGAAAAAAUAAAGAUUAUUGUACUUCCACCUGACCAUUAUAGAAGAGGUUAAUAGCCAUUACUAGUGCAGAGUGGUUAACAUUCAUCUUGGCUAAAUUUACUGAGUACUUACUAUACGCUAGGCAUUGCUUAAGAGAAGUAUCAUCAUAUAAUCAACUCCAUAUUAUAGGCUCAGAGAAAAAUACAAUAAUUUGUUCAAGGUCACAUGGCUAUUAAGAAGUAGAGCUGGGAUUCCUUUCCAUAUCUAUAAACUCCACAAGCCUGGACAUUUGAACACUUUGCAGAUUUUGCUCUGAUGAGACUGGUGGGUCAAUCCUCUUGUCAGUGUUUACUGUAACACUGUAGGGAUUCCUUGAGUUAUUGAUCAAUGCAAUUUCUUUGGCCAUUAUUCUUUGGGCAAGGGGAGGUAGAGAGUGGAUAUAGAUCUGAAAGUCUUGAUAAAUGCCCUGCUAAACACAAAUCCAAACAGGAGAAUGCAUUUGGUUACUGGAUGACUUGGCAGUCCAUGGAGAUAUUUUUUGUUUAAAAAUAGGGUGGGAUGGCUAGAGCAGAGGGAGCUGGUGCAGGGAGUAAAGUUUACAUGUUUUGAUGGGUGUCCUCCACCACUGGACAAUUUAUAAUUACUAUGAAAUGAGGCUCUGCUGGGCAUGAACCCAGAGUAAUGGUGUCACAGAAAUGGUCAGUAGCCAAACAAGAGUAGAGUCAUCCCUUUCAUCAUUUCUCGAGCCCGUCCUUAACCUGGGGUCAAGUGUUGCAGGUAGUACCAUGUUGCACACAGGGUUACAAGAAGGCCAACCAAGUUCAGUGUUUGGUUGGGCCGAGGCAGCAAGGCAAAAGCAAAUCGUUUGUUUGUGGGCCUCUACAACUAGGAUGACCGACCAUCUGUUCUACGGGCCCUCUGCUUCCUUUGUAACAUUUCCGUUUCUCCAGUUCUCCCCAGGCCCUUGGUUUUGGUGACUUAGGCUCCAUCUUCUCUAGCCUUAGCUUCCUGCAAUAACUCCCUAUCGGUUCUUCCCACGUGCCUUUUUGUCUCCCCUCUAAUCCCUUCUCUAUUUGGUAGGAUGAACCUUUAAAAUAAAAAACCAACCAUGAUAGUCUCUUGCUUAAAAUAUUCCACUUGGAAAACAAAACAAAACAAAAGAAUCCCAAACAAAAAACUUUUCAGUGCCUUCCCAUUAUCCUUAAUAUAUUCAGUAUGACUGCCAAGGGCUUCCAAAUUUUGGCUUUUGCCCCGUGCUCUUAGAUUCAAUUUUGAUAUUCUCACACUUUAACCAAAUUGACUUUUUUAAGGUUCUGCCUGCACUAUGAUUCCUAUAGACCUUUGUGCAAACUGCUUUUUUUGAUCUAGAACCCCUCCCCAUUACCCAGCCCACCGCCUUCCCCCACUGUCCUGGCUAACGUAUACUCACUCAUCCUUCAGGUUCCAACUCUAGCAGAGCUUCCCAGGGAGACUUACAGGUGAUGGUAGCAUCCCUGCCUCCACAUGGUACUUCAAUAUUUGGUUAUUACUAUGUUCUUCUACUACAUUCUGUCUUCUUAACUAGGUUGGAAGUGCCAGGAGGGGCCCCCCAUGCUUCUCAUGCUCACCAUUGUAGCCUCCCUUCCUCCCACGGUAGCUCACAUUUAAGGCCUUCAGUGCACAUUGAAUUAAGGAAUGAUGGAGAGAAGGAAGGCCCUGGCAUACAGACCCCCUUGUCACUCUGCUUGUCCCAGGGCUGACCCCAGUGGCUCUGGACUGCAGGUGUCUGCCUGCUACCCAGACAUUGUUAUCUCUGGUAUAGCAGCUUCCUGGAGCUGAGGUCACUCUCUCUACCCCCAGAGCUGUUUCAAGACUGGAGUCAACCCAUCGUGAGCCUGAUUCUAAGACAGGAAAAGAGAAUAGAUUUUUCAAGCUACAGAUCAAGGAAGUUGAAGCUGAUUUGAGGCAAAAUUCUGAAGCAAAUUAUGAAAUGUAUUAUUAAAUGCACAGGGCUUAUUUGCACUUCAGUAAGUGUUUUUUAAAAAUGAAUUAGAAAUGAAUAUUUGUGAAUGCUUAGGAAGGAAAGAGUUGAUCAACAUGAGUCAUCAUUGAUUAAAAAUAUAACAGGCCAUUUUUGCAAUUUGGGGUUUCAUGGUGACAUUUGGGUACUCAUCCCUCCUCUCUUGGAGUUCUGUAAACACAAGGAAGAAUAAAGAUGUUGGAAACACAGGAUCGAGUUAUUAAAUCUGGGAAAUUUGCCCAAAUACCUCUCUAUCCAACAACAGUGCAAAGCUGUCUUGUAAGCAUGGUUGCGGGAAGCAGUUUAGACCUCAGGCUUCAGGGAAUUUUGUUCUUUAGCCAGCUCUCUCUGCCGUGCUUCCUUUUCUCCUAUAGCCAUCUUGAGACUGAGAUGGGUGGUCCUAUAGGGGAGAUCCUGAAUCCACUUCCCCAACCAUUUGAGAUGUAGAUGAGGCCGGCCCAACUGCAGAGGGCCUAGCCCUGCCCUGGUGGACUUACUGCAAGUGAUGAGCUGCCCUUGGGUCCUGAUCCUUAUUAUAAUGGCCACCCUCUCUACCACAGCAUGACCUGUGGGAUUGAACAGCCCAGUCUCUGACCAGGAGCUGAAAUAAAAUCAGAGUCGUGAUACCAGCUCUUUCCCUGCCCUAUGGGUAGAAACUGAUGCGUGGGAAAAGGGAGGAGAUGUUGCUCUUAUUUACUGAUUAGAGGCCUGUUAUAGAUAAUAGCUAAGCUAACAUUUAGUGAGUGCUUCUAUGUGCCAAGCCCUGUUCUAAGAGCUUUACUGUAUCAACUCAUUUAAUCCUCACUCAACCCUCCCAGGUAGGUAUAGUUUUAGUCCAUAAGUUAAGUCACUUGCAUAGGGUAAUGCAGCCAGUAAAUGGCAAUGCUGGAAUUUAUAUCCAACAACCAAGUCCAGAGAUGGAGCCCUUCUACAUGUUACCACCACACUGCCCGCUCUACAAAAGUGCCCACUGCAGACCACCAGCUAGCCCAGGGUGAAGGUGGAUUUCUCUAAGGCAUUUGACACAUCUAAUAUGUCUUUAUGAAUACAAUAGAAAAAUAAGACUUGGUAAUGGCACAGUUAAGAAGGUCAUUAGUAACUGAAUGAACCAGUGAACUCAAAGAAUGCUGAUCCCCACCAUGGUGGAGGGAGCUUCUUAGUAGGGUGUCAUCCAGGACCCUAGUGUUCUAACCUAACCUGCAGACAUGGGGAGACACUGGAUGCCUGAAUCAAGUCCAAAGAGACUUAGAGAAGGUGGACCAGAAACUGGUUUCCAAGACUAACCUCAUAAGCAUGGACAUGGCCUAAUCGUAACACAGCAAAGAAUUUCCAGUCUUCCCCUUGCACUGGGAUUAACAGUGAGAUGUAUCUGAAAAAUAAUUGACAAGAGCUUAUAAAUAGUUUUUAAUGGUUAGUUAGUUAGCUAGUUAAUUUAUAUGACAACUAACUUUUUUAAAAGGCAGAGACAGGUGUCCUUUAAAAAAUGGUGAAAGAGAUUUGAAGCCAUAUCACAUGAAAAGGAGUUAGAGUAGCUGACAAUGUUUAAUCCUCGGAAGAGAAAGUUUAGGUAGAAUUCUAGGGCUAUCUUCAAAGAUCUGAAAGAUUAUCUCUUGCAGGAAGGAUGUGACUUACUCUGUGUUAACUGCAGAGGGCAGAGCUGGGACCAAAGGUUACAGGGAGGUGGAUUUGUCUAAUUGCUGUGCAAAGUUCCCUGUCUACCCUUGGAACAAUUAUGACACCUAACAUUUACCGAGUAUUCAUGGAGUCUGCACUAAAAUAAAGGUCUUUAUGUGCCUUAGCUAGAAAGUUGUGGAUAAGAUUCAUACUUAUCACUAUAAAAGUGUCUCAUCAUCAUUAGUAAAGGCUCCAUUUACUGACUGCUUAUUAAAUUACCUCAUUUGAUAGCUGCCCUGUUGACUGUUAUUAUUGUAUCAUUACUGUUUUACAGAUGAAGAAAUAAAGAAGUGAAAUUACUUUCCUGGAAUCAUACUGUUUUAAGUUAUUAGUUUAUAAUGAUCUGGACCCGAAUAUUCCAGCUACUAAUACUGCCUCCUGGGGUUAUGCAUGUAAUAAGGGAUCAGAUCAGGGCAGUUCAUUAGAAAUAUAAUAUAAGCCGCUAAUGAGAACCAUGUGUAUAGUCCUACUUUUCC